UAGGUACUUCCUCCGAUCCAUAUUAGUUGUCGAAAUAUUACAUGUAUCUAGACAUUUUUUAGACAUAGAUACAUCCAUAUUUGGAUAAAUUUGAGACAAUUAAUAUGGAUUGGAGAGAGUACAAU
rnacentral:pre_miRNA from 1 species